UUUACUAUAAAUUUGAUCAAAUUUGAAUAAAUUUGACUUAGAACAUAGCAAAUGUGACAUGUAAAAAAAGAGAAUAAAAGACGGCUAUGAAUCAACUAUCAAACUGACUUCGAUCCAUCGGAUGGUCGGAAAAUGUCUGCACCGUUUGCAUUCAUAGUGACCGUGAAGAGAGCUACAUAUUGCUUUCUUCCGUUCCAACCACUUGCGCUCGUUGUCUUGUUUCAGUUGCGAACGAUAGCAAACAAGCAUGUACGUUGAAGCGCAAUGACAACUCUCCUACUGACAGGAUUCCUUACCUCAAGUUACAGAACUCCUUUGCUUCAUAAGCCCAUCGGGGAUGAAAGCUUUGCGACUUGAACUAGUCCCAGGUGACAGCUUGUUCUGAAAUCGUAGAUCGUUGGCUUACUGACUAGUCACUAGUCUGCUGAAGUGCUACACGGGGACUCUGGGAAUGUAGAGCCAUUUCUGACCAACUGCAACUUGACGAUUACCUUUGCUACAUACUAGGAUGGAUCAAAGUCGGAUUGAUACUGGGCCAACCACUACAUCUGCAACUGCAAACAGGUUGCCACAGAUUGUAUCGGAAGAAUGAUCAUAACAAUCAUGCACCGUCGUUUUGCCUAAACAAUAGCCAAUAGUUUUGACUGCUGCUUGUUUAGAUUGAACCAGCCUUUUUCUUUCUUUGAGAAGUGAAUUGACCAAAAUAGGGACAAAUAACAUUCAUCUGCCUAUAACUAGGUACUCCUCCACUAAAGAUGUCUAUGGCACAGCACAACCAUCAUCCCCUGCUCUCAUUGCUUCCUUCACCC
rnacentral:lncRNA from 1 species